rnacentral:rRNA from 1 species
UACGUAGGGGGCAAGCGUUGUUCGGAAUUACUGGGCGUAAAGCGCACGUAGGCGGGUUGUUAAGUCAGGGGUGAAAUCCUGGAGCUCAACUCCAGAACUGCCUUUGAUACUGAAGAUCUUGAGUUCGGGAGAGGUGAGUGGAACUGCGAGUGUAGAGGUGAAAUUCGUAGAUAUUCGCAAGAACACCAGUGGCGAAGGCGGCUGACUGGUCCGGAUCUGACGCUGAGGCGCGAAAGCGUGGGGAGCAACAGG